AUUGAACGCUGGCGGCAGGCUUAACACAUGCAAGUCGAGCGGAGAGAGGUAGCUUGCUACUGAUCUUAGCGGCGGACGGGUGAGUAAUGCUUAGGAAUCUGCCUAUUAGUGGGGGACAACAUUUCGAAAGGAAUGCUAAUACCGCAUACGUCCUACGGGAGAAAGCAGGGGAUCUUCGGACCUUGCGCUAAUAGAUGAGCCUAGGUCGGAUUAGCUAGUUGGUGGGGUAAAGGCCUACCAAGGCGACGAUCUGUAGCGGGUCUGAGAGGAUGAUCCGCCACACUGGGACUGAGACGCGGCCCAGACUCCUACGGGAGGCAGCAGUGGGGAAUAUUGGACAAUGGGCGCAAGCCUGAUCCAGCCAUGCCGCGUGUGUGAAGAAGGCCUUAUGGUUGUAAAGCACUUUAAGCGAGGAGGAGGCUACUUUAGAUAAUACCUAGAGAUAGUGGACGUUACUCGCAGAAUAAGCACCGGCUAACUCUGUGCCAGCAGCCGCCGCAGUAA
rnacentral:rRNA from 1 species